rnacentral:tRNA from 1 species
GGGUGGUUAGCUCAGCGGUAGAGCACUGUCCUCACACGACAGGGGUCACAGGUUCAAACCCUGUACCACCCACCA